GGGUCUUGGGUGGGUGACCACAGUGAAGUGUGAUCAACCAGGAAGUGAUUAUGUAAGGUAAGGUUUUGUUUAGGACUGACCACAGUGAACUGUGAUCAACCAGGAAGUGAUAUGUAAAGUAGGGUCUUGGGUGGGACUGACCACAGUGAAGUGUGAUCAACCAGGAAGUGAUAUGUAAGGUAGGGGUCUUGGGUGGGACUGACCACAGUGAAGUGUGAUCAACCAGGAAUUGAUAUGUAAAGUAGGGUCAUUGGUGGGACAGACCACAGUUGAAGUGUGAUCGACGAGGAAGUGAUAUGUAAAGUAGGGUCUUGGGUGGGACUGACCACAGUGAAGUGUGAUCAACCAGUAAGUGAUAUGUAAAGUAGGGUGUGGGUGGGACUGACCACAGUGAACAGUCAUCAACGAGGAAGAGAUAUGUAAAGUAGGGUUCUAGGGUGGGAUUGACCACAGUGAACGGUCAUCAACCAGGAAGUGAUAUGUAAAGUAGGGUCUUGGGUCGGACUGACCACAGUGAAGUGUGAUCAACCAGGAAGUGAUAUGUAAGUAGGGGCAUGGGUGGGACUGACCACAGUGAAGUAUGAUCAACCAGGAAGUGAUAUGUAAAGUAGGGUCCUUGGGUGGGACUGACCACAGUGAAGUGCGUGAUCAACAUGGAAGUGAUAUGUAAAGUAGGUUCUUGGGUGGGACUGACCACAGUGAAGUGUGAUCAACCAGGAAGUGAUAUGUAAG
rnacentral:lncRNA from 1 species